rnacentral:ncRNA from 1 species
ACAAUAACGUAUGAACACGCGUCAUUUGCCGGUCCCCUUUGCAGCGAGUCAGGAAUAGGUGUGAGCCUGAUAAGUACCGCUGAAUGAUAUCAGUUCGCAGUUGUCUCGCCGAAUAACUAAGCGAGACCGGUUGAUCACCGUUAAGCAAUCACUGAGGGGGACUUGUUCCCUGAAGUUAGGUGGUACCACGUUUGCUCGUCCUAAUA